rnacentral:rRNA from 1 species
AUGCAACGCGAAGAACCUUACCUGGUCUUGACAUCCCGGAGACCCUUAGGAAACUAGGGGUGCUUCCAUCUGGAAGAAUCUGGAGACAGGUGCUGCAUGGCUGUCGUCAGCUCGUGUCGUGAGAUGUUGGGUUAAGUCCCGCAACGAGCGCAACCCUUGCCUUUAGUUGCCAGCAGUUCGGCUGGGCACUCUAAAGGGACUGCCGGUGUUAAACCGGAGGAAGGUGGGGAUGACGUCAAGUCCUCAUGGCCUUUAUGACCAGGGCUACACACGUACUACAAUGGCCGAUACAAAGGGUAGCGACACUGCGAGGUGAAGCCAAUCCCGUAAAAUCGGUCUCAGUCCGGAUUGGAGUCUGCAACUCGACUCCAUGAAGUUGGAAUCGCUAGUAAUCGUGGAUCAGCAUGCCACGGUGAAUACGUUCCCGGGCCUU